rnacentral:rRNA from 1 species
UACAGAGGCCUCGAGCGUUAGGCGGAAUCACUGGGCUUAAAGCGUGUGUAGGCGGACUUCUAAGUACCUUGUGAAAUCCCACGGCUUACCCGUGGAACGGCUGGGUAUACUGGUUGCCUUGAGCCACUUAGGGGCUACCGGAACAAAUGGUGGAGCGGUGAAAUGCGUAGAUAUCAUUUGGAACGCCAAUGGUGAAAACAGCUCGCUGGGGGUGUGCUGACGCUGAGACACGAAAGCCAGGGGAGCAAACGGG